rnacentral:sRNA from 1 species
CUGGUCCACCAGCUGCGGGCAGAUGAAGUGCACGUGGCAGUCGAUGCCACCGGCGGUGAGGAUUUUCCCGUUGCCGGCCACGAUCUCCGUGGACGGGCCGAUCACCAGCGCCGGGUCCACGCCGUCCAUGGUGUCCGGGUUGCCGGCCUUGCCGAUGCCGACGAUCCGCCCGUCGCGGAUGCCGACGUCCGCCUUGAUCACGCCCCAGUGGUCGAGGAUCACCGCCCCCGUGAUCACCACGUCCGGCGCGCCCUCGGCGCGGGUGGCCAUGCCCUGGCCCAUGGACUCG